rnacentral:rRNA from 1 species
AUUGAACGCUGGCGGCAGGCCUAACACAUGCAAGUCGAACGAGUGGCGGACGGGUGAGUAAUGUCUGGGAAACUGCCCGAUGGAGGGGGAUAACUACUGGAAACGGUAGCUAAUACCGCAUACCCUCGGAUGUGCCCAGAUGGGAUUAGGUAGUAGGUGGGGUAACGGCUCACCUAGGACACGAUCCCUAGCAGGUCUGAGAGGAUGACCAGCCAAACUGGAACUGAGACACGGUCCAGACUCCUACGGGAUGAGGCAGUGGGGAAUAUUGCACAAUGGGCGCAAGCCUGCUGCAGCCAUGCGGCGUAUAUGAAGAAGGCCUUCGGUUGGUAAAGUACUUUCAGCGAGGAGGCGUUACUCGCAGAAGAAGCACCGGCUAACUCCGUGCCAGCAGCCGCGGUAAUAC